rnacentral:rRNA from 1 species
CGGGUGAGUAACGCGUGGGUAACCUGCCUCACACAGGGGGACAACAGCUGGAAACGGCUGCUAAUACCGCAUAAGCGCACAGCUUCGCAUGAAGCAGUGUGAAAAACUCCGGUGGUGUGAGAUGGACCCGCGUCUGAUUAGGUAGUUGGUGAGGUAACGGCCCACCAAGCCGACGAUCAGUAGCCGACCUGAGAGGGUGACCGGCCACAUUGGGACUGAGACACGGCCCAA